rnacentral:rRNA from 1 species
ACGGAAGGCAGCAGUGGGGAAUAUUGGACAAUGGGGGAAACCCUGAUCCAGCGACGCCGCGUGAGUGAAGAAGUAUUUCGGUAUGUAAAGCUCUAUCAGCAAGGAAGAAAAUGACGGUACUUGACUAAGAAGCUCCGGCUAAAUACGUGCCAGCAGCCGCGGUAAUACGUAUGGAGCAAGCGUUAUCCGGAUUUACUGGGUGUAAAGGGAGCGUAGACGGCAAGGUAAGUCUGAAGUGAAAUGCCGGGGCUCAACCCCGGAACUGCUUUGGAAACUAUCUCGCUCGAGUACCGGAGGGGUAAGCGGAAUUCCUAGUGUAGCGGUGAAAUGCGUAGAUAUUAGGAGGAACACCAGUGGCGAAGGCGGCUUACUGGACGGUAACUGACGUUGAGGCUCGAAAGCGUGGGGAGCAAACAGGAUUAGAUACCCUGGUA